rnacentral:rRNA from 1 species
GAUGAACGCUGGCGGCGUGCCUAAUACAUGCAAGUCGAGCGAACAGACGAGGAGCUUGCUCCUCUGACGUUAGCGGCGGACGGGUGAGUAACACGUGGAUAACCUACCUAUAAGACUGGGAUAACUUCGGGAAACCGGAGCUAAUACCGGAUAAUAUAUUGAACCGCAUGGUUCAAUAGUGAAAGACGGUUUUGCUGUCACUUAUAUAUGGAUCCGCGCCGCAUUAGCUAGUUGGUAAGGUAACGGCUUACCAAGGCAACGAUGCGUAGCCGACCUGAGAGGGUGAUCGGACACACUGGAACUGAGACACGGUCCAGACUCCUACGGGAGGCAGCAGUAGGGAAUCUUCCGCAAUGGGAGAAAGCCUGACGGAGCAACGCCGCGUGAGUGAUGAAGGUAUUCGGAUCGUAAAACACUGUUAUUAGGGAAGAACAAAUGUGUAAGUAACUAUGCAAGUCUUGACGGUACCUAAGCAGAAAGCCACGGCUAACUACGUG